UUUACCAACAGUGCAGCCAUAAAAAAGAGCAUCAACAUGAGAUAACUUAUCCACGUACACACCAACGCACAUCUUCGCUAGACAAGUCACAGAGAUGGCAUUUGGCUCUGCUUCCUCGGGGAAUUGUUCACAGCACAGAAUUAUCACACAGUUUAACACAGCUGGCAGUCUGGGCUCAAGAGGAAACAGAAAAAGAUUGGAGAGGAUAAACAGCAGUUGCUGACUAUUGAAAUAUCAAACUGAUUUGGGAGGCCGAGGUGGAUGGAUCAUCUGAGCUCAGGAGUUCAAGACCAGCCUGAUGAAUAUGGUGAAACCUCGUCUCUACUAAACAAAUACAAAAAUUACCCGGGCAUGGUGGCAUGCACCUGUAGUCCCAGCUACUCGGGAGGCUGAGACAAGAGAGUUGAUUGAACCCAGGAGGCGGAGGUUGCAGUGAGCUGAAAUUGCGCCACUGCUCUCUAGCCUGGGUGACAGAACGAGACUCCAUCUCAAAAAGAAAAAAAAAAAAAAGAAAAAGAAAAAAGAAAUACCAAACUGAGACUAGAAAUAAGCAAGAGAAGCAGCAUUACAACAGGUACAGAAGUUACCUUAUACUGAAA